UACGUAGGGCGCAAGCGUUAUCCGGAAUUAUUGGGCGUAAAGAGCUCGUAGGCGGUUCGAUAAGUCGGACGUGAAAUCUCCACGCUCAACGUGGAGGGCCGUUCGAUACUGUCGUGACUCGAGUCCGGUAGGGAGUGUGGAAUUCCCGGUGUAGCGGUGAAAUGCGCAGAGAUCGGGAGGAACACCCGUAGCGAAGGCGGCACUCCUGGGCCUGUACUGACGCUGAGGAACGAAAGCGUGGGGAGCGAACAGG
rnacentral:rRNA from 1 species